CGGCUUCCCAGCUUCCACCAGCCGGGCGGCGUUGUACGUCAGCAGCCGCGCCGCCUCCAGCUGGGUAGCUACGUGAGCCACCUGGUGUUGGAGCCCCUGGAACAGCCAGGCCCCACCUGAGAGAAUCAGGAUUUCUAAGACAUGUUUUAUCUCUAAGUCCAACUGGGAUGCUACACACUGACAGACUCGAGACAUACCACCAAA